rnacentral:rRNA from 1 species
UACGAAGGGUGCAAGCGUUACUCGGAAUCAUUGGGCGUAAAGGGCGCGUAGGUGGCCCGGUCAGUUCGUGGUGAAAGCGCGGGGCUCAACCCUGCGUCGGCCAUGAAUACUGCCGCGGCUGGAGCACUGUAGAGGCAGGCGGAAUUCCGGGUGUAGCGGUGGAAUGCGUAGAGAUCCGGAAGAACACCGGUGGCGAAGGCGGCUAUCUGGACCGACAUUGACGCUGAGGCGCGAAAGCGUGGGGAGCAAACAGG